AUUGAACGCUGGCGGCAGGCCUAACACAUGCAAGUCGAGCGGAUGAAGGGAGCUUGCUCCUGGAUUUAGCGGCGGACGGGUGAGUAAUGCCUAGGAAUCUGCCUGGUAGUGGGGGAUAACGUCCGGAAACGGGCGCUAAUACCGCAUACGUCCUGAGGGAGAAAGUGGGGGAUCUUCGGACCUCACGCUAUCAGAUGAGCCUAGGUCGGAUUAGCUAGUUGGUGGGGUAAAGGCCUACCAAGGCGACGGUCCGUAACUGGUCUGAGAGGAUGAUCAGUCACACUGGAACUGAGACACGGUCCAGACUCCUACGGGAGGCAGCAGUGGGGAAUAUUGGACAAUGGGCGAAAGCCUGAUCCAGCCAUGCCGCGUGUGUGAAGAAGGUCUUCGGAUUGUAAAGCACUUUAAGUUGGGAGGAAGGGCAGUAAGUUAAUACCUUGCUGUUUUGACGUUACCAACAGAAUAAGCACCGGCUAACUUCGUG
rnacentral:rRNA from 1 species